UAUGUACUAUUAACUCCAUUAAAAUACACUUAGAAUUACACUAAUUAUGUACUUCUAGGUAACUAAGUAUACUGGAUAACUAAACCAUUAGUUUACUUUAUACAGACUAUUAGUCUGUAUGUGUUCUGUAUGUGUAUAAUGUUCAGUAGUAAUGCAGGUAGGAAGACCCAGGACACGCUGGAGAGAACGCCUUGGGGUCCCACCGGAAGAGCUGGAGGAAGUGUCCAGGGAGAAGGAAGUCUGGAACUGUCUGCUCAGACUGCUGCCCCCGCGACCCAGCCCCAAAUAAGCGGAUGAAAAUGGAUGGAUUGAUGGAUAGUAAUGCAUUUAUAACACAUUAGAUAAUGUUUAUUUAAUAUAUGAAAUGCUUUCUCUUAUCUGAUGGGGUUUAACCUUUAGUGCUGUCUGGUGUUUUAUAGAUGGACUAAAGGAAGGAAAGAACCAAACCAAGUCAAUCUUUUUUUACACUUUUCGUCACAACACACACAACUAAAAACAUUAGUGACAUGGAGCUUUGAGAACCUUUCAAAUAAUGAACAACAUAUAUACAGUACAAUACACAAUAAUACAAACUAUCUGCAAACACGGUUACUAUGGUAUUUACAUUGCUUAGAGAACAUGAUCUUCAUGAAUCGCUUUGUUUGUCCCCACUGGUUCAUACUAAUGUUCACAUCACUAGAGAACAUGAUGCAGCAUUAUCUGAUAAACACCAACUAUAGUGUUUGCUACCACCUAAAAAGUGAUAUUUAUUACUUAAAGGUAAGAGGUUACAGUUAACCAAACCACAGAACAUUAACACCAUUAUAUAUACUAUCUUUUAAUUCAAAAUGAAACUUACUGAGUUGGAAACUUACUUCUGCUUUCCACUUUCGUUUAACAACAACAAAGUGCAUCAUGAUUGGUCAGGACAGGGCCUUAUAUAGAGCUGGUACUGUACGCAGGCAAAACAUAGCUUUGAAUGCCUUCAGACCCCUUGAAAACAAACCAAAAAAAGCAGGUUGCCAAAUGUGACGGACAGAGACAGACAGCAAGAUUCAUACACGACCCCCGUGGAGCCCUUUUUAAUAACAGAUCUCUGCGUGAGACCAUUGAAAACAAAUGCUCGUCUGUGCUCAACACACGACCCGCUCUCGAAAAAGAUGCAUAUGAAGUUAUCUGUGAUACGAAUGACGAAACACAUGUAAUAUUGUUCAGAAUCAAUUUGUGGCAUCCACGGGUUGUUUGGAACUUUUUUUUUGUUAAUGAUGAUGCCAACAUCCACCGUUUAAGAUACAUCACUCCAUUGGAUGAUGACCAGCAGCCACGAAGGACCGUUUGGAUACAUGAACAAAAUGAGAUUGAAAGUUCUUACCCUGACAAGGCUUUUCAGUUAAAUUGGCAGAAAAUAAACCCAACCACAAAGAAUGAUAUACUUAAUAAAUUACAGGAUCUCAGCGAUGAGUUUAAAAACAGAACAAAUCAAUAUGGAUGGGUUUUAAAUAUUUUCAGUGAUCAUGUAGAAAAAAUAACAGUGGAUAAGCCAGAGUUUAAUAAUGAGUCAUCAUCAAAAUCAUUGAUGGGGAAUAUACAUGUACAUGUAGAGCAAAAAUUAAUUGAAAAAACACAUAAAUUCCUUAAGGAGAACCCUGAGAGGAAUAUUAUACAUUUCAUAAUGUAUACAAAUAAGUUUCCAUGUUUAAAAAGACGCACAAAAGACAAUACUAACCCUUGUUUUAUUCAAAUUAUAAAAUCUGCCUUUGAAUAUAACAGUGAUAGAGGAGCAGGAAUUGAUGUUUUCUUCACAAAUAGCUGGGGUCCGCUCCACCACACAAAUUUUAAUUUUUUGACAUAUUCCAAACUAAUAAAUACUGGCAAUGUUUUUCAUGAAUACCACCGUAAACAAUACAAUAAAAGAUUUAAGCUGGAUCAAAAGUGUUUCAAAGAUAACACUGAAAUACAAAAAGUACUGGCUCACACAGAUAAACCGCACAGAAUGCAAUUUAUGGAUGAACUGAAAAGAGUUAAGAAUAAACUAACAACUAAGGAACUCACCAUUAUAGAACAUAUAGACUAUUUAGAGGAAGUGGUUUAUAACAAUGAUGCCAAUACAUCAAAAAUUUACAGGGAUAAAAUUUAUGACAUGUUUUUAAAUAUGGAGCUGAAAUAUUUAGAGCAGGAAAUUUUUGUUGUUGUUGAUAUAACAUCAGAUUUCAACAGUAUAAUUGUUAAAUGUUUACUAGAAGACCUUCCAUCCAUUUUGGGGAACAAUAGGUAUUUUAGGCUUCAUCAUGUCCAGCAGGAUGAUCCAGCGAAACAAAUAAUUGAAAUGAUUAAAAAACAAAGAACUAACCAUUGAAUAACUUGAAUGCUCUGUGUUGUCAACGCUGUUGCCAGAAUAAAACAGAUGAUUCCAUCA
rnacentral:lncRNA from 1 species